UACGGAGGGGGCUAGCUUUGUUCGGAAUUACUGGGAGUAAAGCGCGCGUAGGCGGACCUGCAAGUCGGGGGUGAAAGCCCGAGGCUCAACCUCGGAACUGCCUUCAAUACUGCGGGUCUCGAGUCCGGGAGAGGUGAGUGGAAGUCCUAGUGUAGAGGUGAAAUUCGUAGAUAUUAGGAAGAACACCAGUGGCGAAGGCGGCUCACUGGCCCGGUACUGACGCUGAGGCGCGAAAGCGUGGGGAGCAAACAGG
rnacentral:rRNA from 1 species